rnacentral:rRNA from 1 species
UUGCCUUAGUAGCGGCGAGUGAAGCGGCAAAAGCUCAAAUUUGAAAUCUGGCGCCUUCGGUGUCCGAGUUGUAAUUUGAAGAUUGUAACCUUGGGGUUGGCUCUUGUCUAUGUUUCUUGGAACAGGACGUCACAGAGGGUGAGAAUCCCGUGCGAUGAGAUGCCCAAUUCUAUGUAAGGUGCUUUCGAAGAGUCGAGUUGUUUGGGAAUGCAGCUCUAAGUGGGUGGUAAAUUCCAUCUAAAGCUAAAUAUUGGCGAGAGACCGAUAGCGAACAAGUACAGUGAUGGAAAGAUGAAAAGAACUUUGAAAAGAGAGUGAAAAAGUACGUGAAAUUGUUGAAAGGGAAGGGUUUGAGAUCAGACUCGAUAUUUUGUGAGCCUUGCCUUCGUGGCGGGGUGACCCGCAGCUUAUCGGGCCAGCAUCGGUUUGGGCGGUAGGAUAAUGGCGUAGGAAUGUGACUUUACUUCGGUGAAGUGUUAUAGCCUGCGUUGAUGCUGCCUGCCUAGACCGAGGACUGCGAUUUUA